CGUGCUUAACACAUGCAGCAGUCGAGCGGUAAGGCCCUUCGGGGUACACGAGCGGCGAACGGGUGAGUAACACGUGGGUGAUCUGCCUCGUACUCUGGGAUAAGCCUGGGAAACUGGGUCUAAUACCGGAUAUGACCACGAGUCGCAUGGUUUGUGGUGGAAAGAUUUAUCGGUGCGAGAUGGGCCCGCGGCCUAUCAGCUUGUUGGUGGGGUAAUGGCCUACCAAGGCGACGACGGGUAGCCGGCCUGAGAGGGCGACCGGCCACACUGGGACUGAGACACGGCCCAGACUCCUACGGGAGGCAGCAGUGGGGAAUAUUGCACAAUGGGCGGAAGCCUGAUGCAGCGACGCCGCGUGCGGGAUGACGGCCUUCGGGUUGUAAACCGCUUUCGACAGGGACGAAGCGUGAGUGACGGUACCUGUAGAAGAAGCACCGGCCAACUACGUGCCAGCAGCCGCGGUAAUACGUAGGGUGCGAGCGUUGUCCGGAAUUACUGGGCGUAAAGAGCUUGUAGGCGGUUUGUCGCGUCGUUCGUGAAAACUUGGGGCUCAACCCCAAGCUUGCGGGCGAUACGGGCAGACUAGAGUACUGCAGGGGAGACUGGAAUUCCUGGUGUAGCGGUGAAAUGCGCAGAUAUCAGGAGGAACACCGGUGGCGAAGGCGGGUCUCUGGGCAGUAACUGACGCUGAGAAGCGAAAGCGUGGGUAGCGAACAGGAUUAGAUACCCUGGUAGUCCACGCCGUAAACGGUGGGUACUAGGUGUGGGUUUCCUUCCACGGGAUCCGUGCCGUAGCUAACGCAUUAAGUACCCCGCCUGGGGAGUACGGCCGCAGGCUAAAACUCAAA
rnacentral:rRNA from 1 species